GUGCCAGCAGCCGCGGUAAUACGAGGGGGGCAAAUGUUGUUCGGAAUCACUGGGCGUAAAGGGAGCGUAGGCGGGCUCUUAAGUUAGGUGUUUAAUCCCGGGGCCCAACCCCGGACAGGCACCUAAAACUGGGAGUCUUGAAUAGUGGAGAGGACGGCGGAAUUGGGGGUGUAGCGGUGGAAUGCGUAGAGAUCCCCAAGAACACCAGUUGCGAAGGCGGCCGUCUGGACACAUAUUGACGCUGAGGCUCGAAAGCAUGGGGAGCAAACAGGAUUAGAUACCCCCGUAGUCC
rnacentral:rRNA from 1 species